rnacentral:rRNA from 1 species
GACGAACCGUGCGAACGUUGUUCGGAAUCACUGGGCAUAAAGGGCGCGUAGGCGGCUUAUCAAGUCAGGGGUGAAAUCCGGCAGCUUAACUGUCGAAGUGCCCUUGAUACUGACGAGCUCGAGGGAGAUAGGGGUGUGUGGAACUUCCGGUGGAGCGGUGAAAUGCGUUGAUAUCGGAAGGAACGCCGGUGGCGAAAGCGGCUCUCUGGACCACAACUGACGCUGAGGCGCGAAAGCUAGGGGAGCAAACAGG